rnacentral:rRNA from 1 species
CCUACGGUAGGCUGCAGUGGGGGAUAUUGCACAAUGGGGGGAACCCUGAUGCAGCGACGCCGCGUGGGUGAAGAAGCGCCUCGGCGCGUAAAGCCCUGUCAGCAGGGAAGAAAAUGACGGUACCUGAAGAAGACGCCCCGGCUACCUACGUGCCAGAAGCCGCGGUAAUACGUAGGGGGCAAGGGUUAUCCGGAUUUACUGGGUGUAACGGGGGCGCAGACGGCGGUGCAAGCCAGGAGUGAAAGCCCGGGGCCCAACCCCGGGACUGCUCUUGGAACUGCGUGGCUGGAGUGCAGGAGGGGCAGGCGGAAGUCCUGGUGUAGCGGUGAAAUGCGUAGAUAUCAGGAGGAACACCGGUGGCGAAGGCGGCCUGCUGGACUGCAACUGACGUUGAGGCCCGAAAGCGUGGGGAGCAAACAGGAUUAGAUACCCGGGUAGUC